CCUACGGGAGGCUGCAGUGAGGAAUAUUGGACAAUGGACGGAAGUCUGAACCAGCCAUGCCGCGUGCAGGAAGACGGCUCUAUGAGUGGUAAACUGCUUUUGUACGAGGGUAAACGCAGAUACGCGUAUCUGUCUGAAAGUAUCGUACGAAUAAGGAUCGGCUAACUCCGUGCCAGCAGCCGCGGUAAUACGGAGGAUUCAAGCGUUAUCCGGAUUUAUUGGGUUUAAAGGGUGCGUAGGCGGUCGGAUAAGUUAGAGGUGAAAUCCCGAGGCUCAACUUCGGAAUUGCCUCUGAUACUGUUCGGCUAGAGAGUAGUUGAGGUAGGCGGAAUGUAUGGUGUAGCGGUGAAAUGCUUAGAGAUCAUACAGAACACCGAUUGCGAAGGCAGCUUACCAAGCUCCUUCUGACGUUGAGGCACGAAAGCGUGGGGAGCAAACAGGAUUAGAUACCCCGGUAGUC
rnacentral:rRNA from 1 species